GACGAACGCUGGCGGCGUGCCUAAUACAUGCAAGUCGAACGCAUUUUCUUUCACCGUAGCUUGCUACACCGAAAGAAAAUGAGUGGCGAACGGGUGAGUAACACGUGGGUAACCUGCCCAUCAGCGGGGGAUAACACUUGGAAACAGGUGCUAAUACCGCAUAAUUCCAUUUACUGCAUGGUAGAUGGAUGAAAGGCGCUUUUGCGUCACUGAUGGAUGGACCCGCGGUGCAUUAGCUAGUUGGUGGGGUAACGGCCUACCAAGGCUGCGAUGCAUAGCCGACCUGAGAGGGUGAUCGGCCACACUGGGACUGAGACACGGCCCAGACUCCUACGGGAGGCAGCAGAAGGGAAUCUUCGGCAAUGGACGCAAGUCUGACCGAGCAACGCCGCGUGAGUGAAGAAGGUUUUCGGAUCGUAAAACUCUGUUGUUAGAAAAGAACAAGGAUGAGAGUGGAAAGUUCAUCCCUUGACGGUAUCUAACCAGAAAGCCACGGCUAACUACGUG
rnacentral:rRNA from 1 species